UUCAUAUCCCAAUUGAAGAUGAGUGCUCUCCUUUUUAUACCCCCCCCCUUUCGAACAAUGACCAGUCCCGGUCUUGUUAACUACAAAGGAGUAAUUAGCUCAAGUGCUUUCACUGGGUGGCCACCACUCAAAUAACAGAAUACACAUGCUCGAGUAAAUGGCAGCCAUUUUGACUCUUGAACACUGUCCUUCGAACAUCUGGAACUCUUUUCAGCUACAUGAUUCUGCGAAACCCAAG